GAUGAACGCUAGCGGCAGGCCUAAUACAUGCAAGACGAACGGUAAGUUGAGUAGCAAUACUUAGCCAAGAGUGUCGUACGGGUGCGUAACACGUAUGCAACCUACCCUAUACAGGAGGAUAGCCUAGGGAAACCUGGAUUAACCCUUCAUAGUAUUAUUGGAUGGCAUCAUUUGAUAAUUAAAACUGAGGUGGUAUAGGAUGGGCAUGCGUCUGAUUAGUUAGUUGGCGGGGUAAUGGCCCACCAAGACGAUGAUCAGUAGGGGUUCUGAGAGGAAGAUCCCCCACACUGGCACUGAGAUACGGGCCAGACUCCUACGGGAGGCAGCAGUAGGGAAUAUUGGUCAAUGGAUGCAAGUCUGAACCAGCCAUGCCGCGUGCAGGAAGAAGGCCUUCUGGGUUGUAAACUGCUUUUGCCAGGGGAUAAAAUUUCCAUGCGUGGAAACUGAAGUACUGGUGAAUAAGCCACGGCUAACUACGUGCCAGCAGCCGCGGUAA
rnacentral:rRNA from 1 species